UACGUAGGGUGCGAGCGUUAAUCGGAAUUACUGGGCGUAAAGCGUGCGCAGGCGGUUUUGUAAGCCAGAUGUGAAAUCCCCGGGCUUAACCUGGGAAUGGCAUUUGGGACUGCAAGGCUUGAGUGCGGCAGAGGAGACUGGAAUUCCUGGUGUAGCAGUGAAAUGCGUAGAUAUCAGGAGGAACACCGAUGGCGAAGGCAGGUCUCUGGGCUGACACUGACGCUCAUGCACGAAAGCCGU
rnacentral:rRNA from 1 species